UACGUAGGUGGCAAGCGUUGUCCGGAUUUACUGGGCGUAAAGAGCGCGCAGGCGGUCGUUCAAGUCGCGUGUGAAAGCCCCCGGCUCAACUGGGGAGGGUCACGCGAUACUGAUCGACUCGAAGGCAGGAGAGGGUAGUGGAAUUCCCGGUGUAGUGGUGAAAUGCGUAGAUAUCGGGAGGAACACCAGUGGCGAAGGCGGGUCUCUGGGCAAUUCCUGACGCUGAGGCGCGAAAGCGUGGGGAGCAAACGGG
rnacentral:rRNA from 1 species